AAUAGUUUUAUGCCACAUCAGUACUUUUAUCCUGAAUUUCAGGAUUUUAUCCUGAAAAAAAUCAAAUCCAAAAUUAAAAUACUAAAAUUCAGGAUAAAAUCUUGAAAUUCAGGAUAAGAAUAUUGAUGUGGCAUAAAACUAUU
rnacentral:pre_miRNA from 1 species